rnacentral:lncRNA from 1 species
AUCAAAGCCACAGGCGGCUGGGAGACAAAAUAUGGAUAAUUAUGACAAAUCCCGUAAUGAUUGUAGUUUCCUUAAAAAUCUCUGCCGCUGGAACACUCACUCGGAACAGUCACUCGGGUUGCUCCGCUAUCCGGAACAGUCAUCAAGACUGUUCUGCGUGAAAAUCACCAAAUUGCACUAUUUUCUGCCUCUUUUGUUCCAGCUGGUUCAUCUCCCAUCCAAUGCAACUCCAGACCUGUAAUGACUCGAAAAGGACUAGGAAGACUCGAUAAAGACUUGAAAACCAAUUUAAAAGCAUAUAUACAAGAUGUAUAAAACACCAUAUAUCAAUUCCCCCAGACUUAGAUCCUUGUUUGUCCUCAAACAAUGUCAAGUAUCAAGAACAGGGAGAAAGGUUUGAAAGUGUGGGAACUCUCCUAUUCUCAGCAACCAUACUUUAACCACGAAUCUCUGAACCAUACAAGCAGUAAAACUAGGACAACACACCCUUACCGGAACCCCACUGACUGCUGUUCAAAAAUCGGCUCCAUACUCUUCAUCUCAAACCUGAAAAAGCAACACUAUCGAGACAGAACUCCCUACAUUCAUUUAAGAGUAGCGUGAGCUUCUCAUCACAGGCAUCAUUCAGGGUAGACGGUCUAGGUGUGGAACAGGCUAUUUAAUGGUGGAGUUAAGAGUGUUUAGGGGCUACCAUUUCAUUGAAGAGGAUGCAGGAUAUCACACAAAAUGGCAAGAGAGGAUAGAUCCAUUGAUGUCCACAGCCUCUACUCGUUUUUGCUCUAUCUGGUGCGACUGUUCUGAUGGCGGAACAGGCAACUGAUUGUUCUGCGUUCCACUUUCCUUUUGGUACCCACUCCUUUGUUCGAUCUUCCCAGUGGCUCAUGUUUCUUUUCUUUCUUCCCCUUCUCCAUCACAUUAAUCUCGUUUUUUUUUUUUUUUUUUUUUUGAAGACUGAUAUGGUGAUGUGACGAAGAAGGAGGUAAUACAUGAUCGUUCUGAGUGCCACUGGUGGUUCUGAUUUUGCAACCAUUCUGGUUCUCCACCCCUGCUCUUGCGCAGUUCAUUGGUUAUGGAGCAGUUGCUCCCUUAAUCUGCUUGUUCUCCUUUCUGACUGAAUUUCUGCAGCAGUAACGAGUAGCAGGCUGCGUUGAUCCUUUCCUCUCCGACCUUUUUGCACAUAUCUGCACAUAUGACACUGAAAAACAAAUGCAUGAAGGUGGAAUAAAGGCUAAGGUGCAGGGUGGGAACUAGCUAAAGAUGAGCUAGCCACUCAGGAUCAGCAAGAUGGAUAAAAAGGAUAAGAAGUCCUGAGUGUGUUCUCGUUUCCCUGAUCUAAUGCCCAUAACAAGAAGAAUUUCAGUCAAGAUUAGGUUCAAGUAAGGUGGAGUUAAGUCUACCCAGUGUAACCUGAUCGGCUGAGAACUUCUGGAGAAUCAAGUGAGAUAUGUCAGGGUGUUCCAGGUCCACAUGUGUGUCUUUCGCCACUGCUAAGGUCACUGAAUAAGAUAACUAAAGCACGAGGUGGUCAGUGAUCAACACAGAAUAAGGUCCUAAUUCCCACAAAGUUUUGACUGACUCAAUAAAAACUGACUCAAAUUGACCCAAAAGAAAAACAAAAGAAAGAAACGAGUUAGUAAACGACGAAAACCCUCCCCCGGACUUACUUCACAACGUCCCUGGUGUGAAAAUAAAUCAGAGAGAAGGAAAAAACAAGAAUAAAUUAUUUUAUUUUUUUUUUUCGAGAUACUUACCUGGUGCGGAGCAGCCUGACAGAGCAAGACGCGGUUGCUCCGGUAAAGGAUGCUCUGGAAUGAGAGCAGC